rnacentral:tRNA from 1 species
UAAAAGGUCGGGAUAGCUCAGUUGGUAGAGCAGAGGACUGCAA